GACGAACGCUGGCGGCGUGCUUAACACAUGCAAGUCGAACGGAAAGGCCCUGCUUUUGUGGGGUGCUCGAGCGGCGGACGGGUGAGUAACACGUGAGUAACCUGCCCUUGACUUUGGGAUAACUUCAGGAAACUGGGGCUAAUACCGGAUAGGAGCUCCUGCUGCAUGGUGGGGGUUGGAAAGUUUCGGCGGUUGGGGAUGGACUCGCGGCUUAUCAGCUUGUUGGUGGGGUAGUGGCUUACCAAGGCUUUGACGGGUAGCCGGCCUGAGAGGGUGACCGGCCACAUUGGGACUGAGAUACGGCCCAGACUCCUACGGGAGGCAGCAGUGGGGAAUAUUGCACAAUGGGCGGAAGCCUGAUGCAGCGACGCCGCGUGCGGGAUGACGGCCUUCGGGUUGUAAACCGCUUUCGCCUGUGACGAAGCGUGAGUGACGGUAAUGGGUAAAGAAGCACCGGCUAACUACGUG
rnacentral:rRNA from 1 species